rnacentral:rRNA from 1 species
UGGGGAAUAUUGCACAAUGGGCGCAAGCCUGAUGCAGCCAUGCCGCGUGUAUGAAGAAGGCCUUCGGGUUGUAAAGUACUUUCAGCGGGGAGGAAGGCGAUAAGGUUAAUAACCUUGUCGAUUGACGUUACCCGCAGAAGAAGCACCGGCUAACUCCGUGCCAGCAGCCGCGGUAAUACGGAGGGUGCAAGCGUUAAUCGGAAUUACUGGGCGUAAAGCGCACGCAGGCGGUCUGUCAAGUCGGAUGUGGGAAAUCCCCGGGCUCAACCUGGGAACUGCAUUCGAAACUGGCAGGCUGGAGUCUUGUAGAGGGGGGUAGAAUUCCAGGUGUAGCGGUGAAAUGCGUAGAGAUCUGGAGGAAUACCGGUGGCGAAGGCGGCCCCCUGGACAAAGACUGACGCUCAGGUGCGAAAGCGUGGGGGAGCAAACA